GACUAAUCCAUCCAAGAAUUGGAACUGAACUCACCUCCUGGAUGACUGAUACCUACAGCGCCAUGAGAUGGCCUGCUAGGCAGUUGUCCUACACACACCUUUCACAGGCUCAUGUUCCAGCUCUGGAAAGCUUUGGAACCCGCAGCACGCUGGAGGAUAAUGCAGGAGUGUGGAAUUCCAUUGGCUAGGAAAGCCAGUACUCUCAAGGUCUCCCAAAUGGGUGCAGGGAUCCAAGACCUUGGACCAUCCUCUAGUGCUUUUGCUGGCCACAAGCAGAGAGCUGGAAUGAAGUGGUGCAGCUGGGACGCAAACCAGCGCCCACAUGGGAUCCUGGUGCAUGUAAGAGUGAUGCGCUGGACACUUGAAGUAAGAGCCCUUUGAAGCUGACGUGCUGCAGGAUAAAACACACUCUAUCUUUGGAAAAGAGAAUGCCAAGAUAUUGUGGGGGCACCAGGAACAAUGGAGCCGAUGAAACGGAGGUCAGAGCUGAAGGUCUCCGCUAGAAACAAGCUAUAUACAGAUGCUUCAAGACUUCUGGAUUAUGAUCACACUUUUUCUCUUUCACAUAAAUAUUUGUUGUCAUUGAGAUGCUUUGCAACAAUAAGGAGGGCUGAU